AAAUAUUCGCAAAAAAUCAUCGAUAACUUUUCUGCCUAUAAUUGUAGCAACGCGUGGCUUAGCAUUGCCAGCGCCUCACGACGGCCGGAUAUAAAAACUUAACCUUAUUUUUUGUUUGUAGUGUCUAUAAAUAAAGAUCGAUGCUCGGAUGAAAGCAUUGUGUACAACAAGCAUUGUGUAUGUGAAAAGUGUUUGAAAAAAGUUUGAAAAGUAUGGAAUUGAAGGGAAGAGGUGACAAAAGAAAGUAGACAAAGAAGAGAGUGAAAAACUAGAGUGAGAUUGGAAGAAAAAAGUAGAAAAGUGCGAAGUGAACAAAAAGUGAGGUUAGAAAGACUGCAAGCAGGCAAGGAAAGGAAAAGGAAGCAGGCAAAAGAUAUUUCAUCGUCAAAAUAAUGGUGAGGAAGAGAGCUUUUUGUAAAUAAUUAUAGAAUAGAUAUUGAUAUCUUUUUUUCCAUAUGAUAUUCUUGAUUCUGGUUCUUGAUUCGAUCGAUAUGUUUCAUUUCAUUUCUUAAUUAUUAUUAUUAUUAUUAUGCGAUAUACAAACUUAUUACGGUUAAACCGGUACAUCAUAAGUUAGCCCGUUAUGGAUGUAAGGGUUAGUGAAGAUUCUCGAUUGCUCCUAAAUACACGAGCUUUCGUAAGUACACACUUUCCGAAAGGGUCUUCUUGUCCAAGCUCCUUUCAUGCAUACCGAAUUUUCGUUAUCUCAUGCGCGCUACUUUACGAGAGAAAUGGAAAACCCACGUUUAAUGCGAGAUCCUCUUUCCUUCCUUCCUUCUCAAAUUUCUUCCUCAUCUCUUGAAUUAAUCGUUUAGUUUAAACAUUGAAUCUUUGAAGAAUACGUGUUCUCUUAAUAUCAUUUCUUACGUAUUAUGAAAUCAUUGUUUCAAUUUGCUUUUUUUAUUUUUAGAAAAUAUUACAAUUUUUCUUAUAUUGAGAAUUGUUGGUUAAUAUUUUCCUCGUUAAUUCUAUAAAUGAAUCUAAUUUCUUUCACAAUAUAAUUUUUUUUUCUAUCAUUCCUUCAUUAAUUUCAUAAAUGAUCCAUUUCUUCCUCAAUAAUAUAAUCUCUAUUACUCACUUGACAUCCGUAUAAAUAUAUGAACACUAGAUACACGUUCUAUCUAACCAUUUCGUUCCUCUGCAAAGAUUUUAUGCCAUAACUCAAAAGAUAACCCCUUGCUGUCUUCAUGCCCCCUCCCUUCGUAUUUCCACUUUCCUCUUCAUUUUUCACAAAUUUAGUUUCUCAACUCUCGUUCCUCUCAACCUGCGUCGUAAAGAAGUAUUCUGUUCUCGUCUGACACAUGUUCUCAAGUACGAUACGCGUAUAAAUUCGAGGAAUACGCGCGAAGGAAACAUGUUUCGCGAGGAAAGUCGGAGGAGGAUGAUCGUUAAUGGGCGAGUUGUGGCAGAGCUGGCAGAUUCGGGCCGCGGAUUCGAGCUCUCGUGAAAUCUCCGUUACUCGUCCACCCAUUAUCCAUUUACGGCCGUGUUUUAUCGAUCGAUUGCCGGACUCGAGAGAGUCACGCGUAUAUCGCCUACGUACGACACGCCACGCUUCGCCGACAGAAGCGUUUCCAACAUUCCUACGUCGUUACUCUCGCUCUACGCCCUGAUUUCACCUCGAAUUCAUACGAAUUUACAACCGUUCGUUCCCUCGACGAGAAAGAGAAAAAAGAAAAAAAAAAAGGAAAAAAGGAGGAGAAUCUUUUAUAACCG